CUUCUAUAUAUCCUUCCACAAAAUCAGCUUACACAUUUCAUUGUCCAUUUGUAUGUAUUGUACUAAUUUAUUCGUUUUUCUGAAUGAUUUUGGACGUUAGACCAGCAGCACCCGGCUUUCUCUCCGAUCUUCCUCUUCCAAACAAGCUUAUCUUCUGAAGAAUUUUGAGUAAUCUACUAGCAUAAUUUCUUUGGGAAGCAAAGUUUAUGGUACCUAUGCAACCGGGGUUCACUUGUCCGAGGGGAUUUUUCUUCUUGCUCAUUCUUCUUUCACCCAAACCAGAUGGUUCUGUUUUCUUGGUACCUUUUUCAUUUUUCUUCGAUAUCUGUUGUAAAUGAAAGCUCCUCUUCAAGGACAUGAGCUCAUUUUCAAGAUUCUGGAUUCUAAAGCUUGUGGAUUCAUAGUCCUUCUCUGGGAAUUCAGAACUAAACUCGGGCCUGGACGAUGUCAAAUCUUUCUGCAGCCAGGAGCUCAGCGGCUUGCUCCCUCUUCCUUCACUUUCUUUUAUAUGUGGCAUUGGGCUCUCUCCCAAAUUUUGGCUUUUCGAAUUUGUAUGUCUAGAGCUCGACAAGCUUCGAGGGAAUUCUCUACAAUUCGCAUAUCUAAAUGAACCAGAGCAUUCUCGAAAUGCUUGUUGAGUAUUUAGUUGCUGAACAAAGAGUGCCUGGACGAUUAGUCGUAGUGGCAUCAGUUCAUUUUGAACUGCUUCAAUGCAAACUUCUUGUGAUAGUUUCUGGCAGUUGAGAUAUUUGCACACUAACCCUUUCUCG
rnacentral:lncRNA from 1 species